CGGACCGGCGCACGGGUGAGUAACGCGUAUGCAACCUGCCUGAUACCGGGGUAUAGCCCAUGGAAACGUAGAUUAACACCCCAUAGUACUUUUAUUCCUGCAUGGGAUGUGAGUUAAAUGUUCAAGGUAUCGGAUGGGCAUGCGUCCUAUUAGUUAGUUGGCGGGGUAACAGCCCACCAAGACGAUGAUAGGUAGGGGUUCUGAGAGGAAGGUCCCCCACAUUGGAACUGAGACACGGUCCAA
rnacentral:rRNA from 1 species